GAUGAACGCUGGCGGCGUGCCUAAUACAUGCAAGUCGAGCGAACGGACGAGAAGCUUGCUUCUCUGAUGUUAGCGGCGGACGGGUGAGUAACACGUGGAUAACCUACCUAUAAGACUGGGAUAACUUCGGGAAACCGGAGCUAAUACCGGAUGAUAUUUUGAACCGCAUGGUUCAAAAGUGAAAGACGGUCUUGCUGUCACUUAUAGAUGGAUCCGCGCUGCAUUAGCUAGUUGGUAAGGUAACGGCUUACCAAGGCAACGAUGCAUAGCCGACCUGAGAGGGUGAUCGGCCACACUGGAACUGAGACACGGUCCAGACUCCUACGGGAGGCAGCAGUAGGGAAUCUUCCGCAAUGGGCGAAAGCCUGACGGAGCAACGCCGCGUGAGUGAUGAAGGUCUUCGGAUCAUAAAACUCUGUUAUUAGGGAAGAACAUAUGUGUAAGUAACUGUGCACAUCUUGACGGUACCUAAUCAGAAAGCCACGGCUAACUACGUG
rnacentral:rRNA from 1 species